UUCGCAAUGCCCGAAAGGGUGACGAAGCGACGCCGCGUGGGUGAGGAAGGCCUUCGGGUUGUAAAGCCCUGUCAGGAGUUAUGAAAUGUAAGUGCGCUAAUAUCGUGCUUAUUUGACAAAGGCUCCAAAGGAAGCCACGGCUAACUCUGUGCCAGCAGCCGCGGUAAUACAGAGGUGGCGAGCGUUGUUCGGAAUUAUUGGGCGUAAAGAGCACGUAGGUGGGUUUGCAAGUCAGAUGUGAAAGCCUUCUGUUCAACGGAAGAAUUGCAUCUGAAACUGCUAAUCUUGAGUAUAGGAGGGGAGAAUGGAACUUCUGGUGGAGUGGUGAAACGCGUAGAUAUCAGAAGGAACGCCGGCGGCGAAAGCGAUUCUCUGGCCUAUUACUGACACUCAGUGUGCGAAAGCUAGGGGAGCAAACGGGAUUAGAUACCCCGGUAGUCCUAGCCGUAAACGAUGGGCACUAAGUAGAGGGGUUUU
rnacentral:rRNA from 1 species